AUUGAACGCUGGCGGAAUGCUUUACACAUGCAAGUCGAACGGUAGAGGGGGCAACCCCUCGAGAGUGGCGAACGGGUGAGUAAUAUAUCGGAACGUGCCCAGUCGUGGGGGAUAACGUAGCGAAAGUUACGCUAAUACCGCAUACGAUCUACGGAUGAAAGCGGGGGAUCGCAAGACCUCGCGCGAUUGGAGCGGCCGAUAUCAGAUUAGGUAGUUGGUGGGGUAAAGGCUCACCAAGCCAACGAUCUGUAGCUGGUCUGAGAGGACGACCAGCCACACUGGGACUGAGACACGGCCCAGACUCCUACGGGAGGCAGCAGUGAGGAAUCUUCCACAAUGGGCGAAAGCCUGAUGGAGCAAUACCGCGUGCAGGAUGAAGCUUUUCGGAGUGUAAACUGCUUUUCUGAAGGAAGAUUAUGACGGUACUUCAGGAAUAAGGAUC
rnacentral:rRNA from 1 species